ACGCAGGGCCCGACGCAGUGGGAUUUCGACACCUCUUCACGGGGCGCAGCUGCACCGGGAUGGAGGCGCAGGGGCCCGAGCUGCAGCCCAGGAGGAAGCAGUGGCGGGAGAGCCGCUCGCCCAUCUGGACUCACGGAUGUGCAAACACAGCACCCGCAUCUCUAGAGGCACCUAGAAGGCCCAAGAAGCCCUCGCAGUCCGCGCUAAUAUACCUGAGGGGGGUGCCCAGGGCCGGCACCUCGUCCCGAGGGACAGGCUCUGCCAGCAGCCCCGGGCACACGUGGACAGCCCAAGGCUGACUCAGCAAACUCUCACGGAGGGGGCAGUGGCAGGGUCAGGCUCAACCCCGGCUCUGUCUGUUUGAGGCCCGUGCCCUUAGCCAUCACGCUACAGAAAUUCAGAACAGAAAUCCAAACUAAUUUCUACCCAGCAAGAGCCACCAGCAAUGCUCACCAGCUACUGGAUAACAAUUCCAACAGCCAAAGGCUCUCGGGACGUGGGCUCCAAGACGGCAGCAGCCCUAAAUCACUCUUAAGUCCAGACAUUUCUUCACGUAUAGGAAACCGACUCACAAGGUUGAGUUACCGUCAAUUCCACCCGUCAUCCCCUGGAAUCUUGUCUUGCUCCGGAACAAAGUCAGCAUUUCUGGGGGUUCGUUCUCGUGUCCUAGCAGUUGUGAAGCCUCGGAUGACAACAGGGCUAACGUUUACUAAGCAUUUACAGCAAGCUUCUUCACCGGGACCGUCCCACUGAGCCCUCACAACCACCCUGGGAGCGGGGAGAGCACCACCGUCGUCGGAGGGUCAGGAAGGCGCCAAGGCCACACAGGGAGCAAGUGGGGAGGACUGAACCCCGGCAGGGUGCUGCAGGGCCGAGGGCCCGAGUGCCGGAAGGAGAGAGACAGGGGAAGGACAGGGCCUCCCUGAUCCAGGACACCAGCGAGGCGGCAGCCGGCAAGAGGCCGGCGGGAGGGUGCGCCCAGGCUGACCCCACGUGGGGCCAGGCCCUCGGCCAGAUGGGACGAAAGGGCAAAGGCCGUGAGUAUAUUACUUUCCUCUGGAGCCCACCCCCAGGUGAUGAAUGAUGUGUCAGGGCGAAAAGGCUGAAAGCCCCAAGGAGGAGGCCAACCCGCAAGACAAAACAAAAGAAAACAGCAGCGCGCCGUUACGACACCCCCAAUGCGCACAGAGUCCCAGGCGUCUUCCCCAGGGCUCCAGGUCAGCCCUUGCUCCCUUCUUGCCCUUAGAUGUGAAUGCGUGCAUGUGCAUGCACCUCUCUCUCUCACACGCACGCACACGCAAGCUCCGCCAUCUUGUAAUCGCUUCAAGAUGCUGUCAUUCCUACAGUGACUGAUGAAGACACGGUCCAUUUGACUCUGACCCCCCGUGGCCCUCCCAGUCCAGAAGGGUGAGGUGAGCUGCAGAGGGGGCGCCCAGCAGCAGGAGACCAGCUUCCAGGCCUGGGGCCCCAGCCUCUGGCCUCACACCAACCCUGGCUGAGCCCAAGUCAGGAAAUGAGCCUACUUCUCUCUUGCAAAAAUAAAAAUGUAUAACAAUUUGGAAAAA